rnacentral:rRNA from 2 species
GACGAACGCUGGCGGCGUGCCUAAAACAUGCAAGUCGAACGGGGUCUUCGGACCCAGUGGCGAACGGCGGAGUAAUACAUAAGCAACGUGCCCUGAAGACUGGGAUAUACGAUGGAAACGUCGGGCAAUACCAGAUGUGGUUGGGAGGAGUCAUCUUCAUCCAAUUAAACGGAUUUAUUCGCUUCGGGAGCGGCUUGUGGCCUAUCAGCUAGUUGGUGAGGUAAAGGCUCACCAAGGCGACGACGGGUAGGGGGUCUGAGAGGAUGAUCCCCUCGAGUGGGACUGAGACACGGCCCACACACCUACGGGUGGCAGCAGUUGGGAAUCUUGCACAAUGGGGGAAACCCUGAUGCAGCGACGCCGCGUGGAGGAUGAAGGAUUUCGGUCUGUAAACUCCUUUUACAGGGAAAGACUUAGGACGGUACCCUGUGAAUAAGCUCCGGCUAACUACGUG